rnacentral:misc_RNA from 1 species
UGGUUCUGGCAUCGAUGAAGAACGCAGCGAAAUGCGAUAAGUAAUGUGAAUUGCAGAAUUCAGUGAAUCAUCGAAUCUUUGAACGCACAUUGCGCCCAUUAGUAUUCUAGUGGGCAUGCCUGUUCGAGCGUCAUUUCAACCCUUAAGCGUAGCUUAGUGUUGGGAACUUACCGCACGGUAACUCCCUAAAGACAGUUGGCAGGUUUGUGAUAGACCCUAAGCGUAGUAAUUCUUCUCGCUUCUGGCGCUGUUGCAGGCCUCGCCACAAGCCUAUUAUUUUCUAUGGUUGACCUCGGAUCAGGUAGGAAUACCCGCUGA